AGAUUGAACGCUGGCGGCGUGCUUAACACAUGCAAGUCGAGCGGUAACGCGGGAGCAAUCCUGGCGACGAGCGGCGAACGGGUGAGUAAUGCUUGGGAAUCUGCCCAUUAGUGGGGAACAACCAGCCGAAAGGUUGGCUAAUACCGCAUACGCCCUACGGGGGAAAGCGGGGGAUCGAAAGACCUCGCGCUAAUGGAUGAGCCCAAGUCGGAUUAGCUUGUUGGUAGGGUAACGGCCUACCAAGGCGACAAUCCGUAGCUGGUCUGAGAGGACGACCAGCCACACUGGGACUGAGACACGGCCCAGACUCCUACGGGAGGCAGCAGUGGGGAAUAUUGGACAAUGGGGGCAACCCUGAUCCAGCGACGCCGCGUGUGUGAAGAAGGCCUGCGGGUUGUAAAGCACUUUUAGUGGGGAUGAAAAGCUCAGGGUUAACACCUCUGGGUCUUGACCUAACCCACAGAAAAGCACCGGCUAACUCUGCGCCAGCAGCCGC
rnacentral:rRNA from 1 species